rnacentral:rRNA from 1 species
GACGAACGCUGGCGGCGUGCCUAAUACAUGCAAGUUGAGCGCUGAAGGUUGGUACUUGUACCAACUGGAUGAGCAGCGCACGGGUGAGUAACGCGUGGGGAAUCUGCCUUUGAGCGGGGGACAACAUUUGGAAACGAAUGCUAAUACCGCAUAAAAACUUUAAACACAAGUUUUAAGUUUGAAAGAUGCAAUUGCAUCACUCAAAGAUGAUCCCUCGUUGUAUUAGCUAGUUGGUGAGGUAAAGGCUCACCAAGGCGAUGUUACAUAGCCGACCUGAGAGGGUGAUCGGCCACAUUGGGACUGAGACACGGCACAAACGCCUACGGGAGGCAGCAGGAGGGAAUCUUCGGCAAGGGACGAAAGACUGACCGAGCAACGCCGCGUGAGUGAAGAAGGUUUUCGGAUCGUAAAACUCGGUUGGUAGAGAAGAACGUUGGUGAGAGUGGAAAGCUCAUCAAGUGACGGUAACUACUCAGAAAGGGACGGCUAACUACGUG